GGGGAAUUUUGGACAAUGGGCGCAAGCCUGAUCCAGCCAUGCCGCGUGAGUGAAGAAGGCCUUCGGGUUGUAAAGCUCUUUCGGCCGGGAAGAAAUCGUGUUCUCUAACAUAGGACAUGGAUGACGGUACCGGACUAAGAAGCACCGGCUAACUACGUGCCAGCAGCCGCGGUAAUACGUAGGGUGCGAGCGUUAAUCGGAAUUACUGGGCGUAAAGCGUGCGCAGGCGGUUUUGUAAGACAGAUGUGAAAUCCCCGGGCUUAACCUGGGAACUGCGUUUGUGACUGCAAGGCUAGAGUACGGCAGAGGGGGGUGGAAUUCCUGGUGUAGCAGUGAAAUGCGUAGAGAUCAGGAGGAACACCGAUGGCGAAGGCAGCCCCCUGGGCCUGUACUGACGCUCAUGCACGAAAGCGUGGGGAGCAAAC
rnacentral:rRNA from 1 species